rnacentral:rRNA from 1 species
UACGUAGGGUCCGAGCGUUGUCCGGAAUCAUUGGGCGUAAAGAGCGCGUAGGCGGCCCGGUAAGUCCGCUGUGAAAGUCAAGGGCUCAACCCUUGAAUGCCGGUGGAUACUGUCGGGCUAGAGUCCGGAAGAGGCGAGUGGAAUUCCUGGUGUAGCGGUGAAAUGCGCAGAUAUCAGGAGGAACACCAGCGGCGAAGGCGGCGCUCUGGGCCGGUACUGACACUGAGGAGCGAAAGCGUGGGUAGCGAACAGG